AGACGUUCCAUAAAAUUUGAUGU
rnacentral:siRNA from 1 species